ensembl:misc_RNA Metazoa_SRP Metazoan signal recognition particle RNA
GCCGGGUGUGGUGGCACGUGCCUGUAGUCCCAGCUACUCAGGAGGCUGAGGUGGGAGGAUCGCUUGAGUCCAGGAGUUCUGGGCUGUAGUGAGCUAUGCCGGUCGGGUGUCUGCACUAAGUUUGGCAUCAGUAUGGUGACUUCCUGGGAGUGGGAGUCCACCAGGUUGCCUAAGGAGGCGUGAACCAGCCCAGGUCAGAAACGGAGCAGGUCAAAACUCCCGUGCUGAUCAGUAGUGAGACAUGCCCGUGAAUAGCCACUGCACUCCAGCCUGGGCAACAUAGCAAGACCCCGUCUCUA